rnacentral:rRNA from 1 species
UUUGAUCAAAAACAUGUCUUAGUGAAUAUAAUACUAAGUCAGACCUGCCCGCUGAUGAGUUGAAGGGCUGCAGUAUUUUGACUGUGCAAAGGUAGCAUAAUAAUUAGUCUUUUAAAUGGAGGCUGGAAUGAAAGGUUAGACGAGAUAAAUACUGUCUCUUAAAUUAUAAUUGAAUUUUACCUUUAGAUAAGAAGGUCUAAAUAAAAAUAAGGGACGAUAAGACCCUAUAGAACUUUAUAUAAUAAUUAUUUUAAUAAAUAUAAUUUAUAUUUUGCUGGGGUGGCAAGGAAAGAAGGGAACUUUUCUUAUAUAAAACGGUAUUAGUGGGUUUAUGGCAUCAUAAUAUGGAAUAUAAGAAUAAGUUACCUAAGGGAUAACAGAUUAAUUUUUUUUUAGAGUUCCUAUCGGGAAAAAAGCUUAAUACCUCGAUGUUGGAUUAUGAUUACUUUUGGGUGCAUCAGCUUAAGGAGUAA